rnacentral:snRNA from 14 species
GUGCUCACCUCGGCAGCACAUGCACUAAACCUGGAAGGAUACAAAGAUUAACAUGGCCCCUACCUACAGAUGACACGGAAUUUGUGACCAGUCCACAUUUUCA